rnacentral:rRNA from 1 species
UACGUAGGGGGCGAGCGUUGUCCGAAGUUACUGGGCGUAAAGGGCGCGUAGGCGGCUUAACAAGUCACUUGUGAAUUCUCCGGGCUUGACUCGGAACGGCCAAGUGAAACUGUCAAGCUAGAGUGCGGAAGGGGCGAUCGGAAUUCUUGGUGUAGCGGUGAAAUGCGUAGAUAUCAAGAGGAACACCUGAGGUGAAGACGGGUUGCUGGGCCGACACUGACGCUGAUGCGCGAAAGCCAGGGGAGCAAACGGG